rnacentral:tRNA from 1 species
GCUCUAAUAGCUUAAAAUCUAAAAGCAUUGUUCUUGUAAACCAAAGCCGGGUAUCCCUUAGAGCAACUAA